GACGAACGCUGGCGGCGUGCUUAACACAUGCAAGUCGAACGGAAAGGCCCUGCUUUUGUGGGGUGCUCGAGUGGCGAACGGGUGAGUAACACGUGAGUAACCUGCCCUUGACUUUGGGAUAACUUCAGGAAACUGGGGCUAAUACCGGAUAGGAGCUCCUGCUGCAUGGGGGGGGUUGGAAAGUUUCGGCGGUUGGGGAUGGACUCGCGGCUUAUCAGCUUGUUGGUGGGGUAGUGGCUUACCACGGCUUUGACGGGUAGCCGGCCUGAGAGGGUGGCCGGCCACAUUGGGCCUGAGAUACGGCCCAGACUCCUACGGGAGGCAGCGGUGGGAAAUAUUGCACAAUGGGCGGAAGCCAGAUGCAGCAACGCCGCGUGCGUGAUGACGGCCUUCGGGUUGUAAACCGCUUUCGCCGGUGACGAAGCGUGAGUGACGGUAAUGGAUAAAGAAGCACCGGCUAACUACGUG
rnacentral:rRNA from 1 species